rnacentral:rRNA from 1 species
UACAGAGGGGGCAAGCGUUGUUCGGAAUUACUGGGCGUAAAGGGCGCGUAGGCGGCCUUCUAAGUCGAACGUGAAAUCCCUGGGCUCAACCCAGGAACUGCGUCCGAUACUGGGAGGCUUGAAUCCGGGAGAGGGAUGCGGAAUUCCAGGUGGUAGCGGUGAAAUGCGUAGAUAUCUGGAGGAACACCGGUGGCGAAGGCGGCAUCCUGGACCGGCAUUGACGCUGAGGCGCGAAAAGCCAGGGGAGCAAACGGGGAUUAAGAA